rnacentral:lncRNA from 1 species
GUUAAAAAUAACCACUGUCUAUGGGCUGUGCUAUGGAAGCAAGGACCAGCUUCUCUGACAUGCUCUCUAGUGCAAUAAUGGAGAAGAAAAAGUUUGGGUACCAUCAAAAUUGAUCAAGAUUCGAGUUGAAAAAGACAACCCUCUUGACAAGGACGACUGACAGAAAAACCUCCAGAAGUCAAAGGACACUUGGGUAGAUACUUAAAGAAAAAAAAGGUAGCUAUAACCAUCAAACGAAAGGAACGUGCCAUACGCAUACAUACAUAUGCAAGCAAACAUUUCUCUGCUGGUACUUAUGUCUGAGUCCCACACAGCCAAUGACAGCAAUCCCUGGAUGCUCCGUAAAGGAACUGGGCCAGACCUCCUGGACUGCACUGCAUCUGACUCACGCCACAUCAACUGACUCCGACCAGAGCCUCCAGUACUGGCUUCAAUCAAGUUAAGGAUUUCAACCUAGAUCUUCAAUCAAGCAAAUCCCAUCUAACAUGCACUGGAGAUAACCCGUUAGAGACUUCCCCUAUACUAACAUUUUCUUCCCACAGGACCCCACAAGGCUACCAUCGUCCUGUUUCAGCAGGAAGUAACUUGGAAGAUGCUACACCCCUGUUCCCCAUUAUUGUCUAUUAGGGUAGUGUAAGCCUAGUUAGGAAUAACUUUCUUAUUGUUUAGAGUUGGUAUUGGAAGGAGGUGUUCAAGUUGGACACCCCUUUCAGAUGACUUUAGGGCUUAGCCGGAAUAGACAUAGUUAGGAUGUGCAAUUAUAUACAAUUAUUGUAUCUUCUUGUAUUUCACCUUUAUGAUUGUUAAUUUUGUAUGUUUUACACCAUUAAGUUUUAAUCCUCUUUUAGACUAAAAGGGGAAUUGUAGGGAGAUCCUGUAGCCCCACCUCCUAGGAGCUAGGUACAGGUGUGCUUGACUAUGCCUGUCAGGGUGUGGUCAGGGGAGGUUCAGGGUGACUCAUGGGGAGUUCUUAAGGGGGCAGCAGACACAUGGGAGCCCUUCUCUCUGGCCUCCCUAGCCUGCUGCCUCUGGGCAUGCUCUGGCUUAUGCUUGGCCGCUGUUUAUCUGAAUAAAGAUAUUUUAACCUUACC